ACAUAGCCAGUGGGUCUGAGCUGACUUUUCUUCCCAAGCCUGUCUGAUCCCCAAAACCCUUGGCUGCCCCCACUCUGCCCCCCGCCUCCCAGCCCUUCCAGCUGCAGCCUUUUCACUCAUUCCACCACCACUCAGCUCUGAGUGGCUAUGCUGGCGGGCUCUCUGCUUUGCGUCGGAGACAUCACAGUGAGCAAAGGCAGAUACGUUUUAUGUGCCCUUGAAGAAUCUACCAGACAAACGUGUCAUUGCAGUCGGAGCCAAAUGGCCGGGGCAGGUGGCACAGAUGAAUGCCAGGCAGAGGAGCCUGCAGACUGGGGUCCCCUUAAAGGCAGAGUGAAUCUCAGAUUCAUCUUAGUCCCUUCCUGGGGUCUUGUUCAGGACCCUGCAUCCAGUAGAUGCUCAACAAAUGUCAACAUAGGAAUCCAGGUCCCAUCCUCUCCUCACUCAAGGGAUCCAAGGCUGCCUCUUCCUCUUCCGUAGUGGUGUGGCUUUGCAGAAGUCACUUAAGCUCUCUAAUCCUCCUCCUCAGAGUGCCAGACUGCAGCUGCCACAUGAAGAGAGAGAGGGUCUCCUAUGUUUCCUAGGCCUGUCUUGAACUCCCAGGCUCAAGCGAUUCUCCUGCCUCAGCCUCCCAACAUGCUGGAUCACAGGCAGUAGCCACCUCGCCUGGCCAGUUUUCCCUUUACAAAAACUGGAAUGCUGAGCCCGGUCACAUCAGUCUUGGCUGGACUCACUGCCCACCUCUGGGACCUUGGCGGUGGGGCGGGAAGGAGGACCUCAAAGGCUCAGCGAGUCCACCCCCAGCCCAGCCACCAGCGCCAGCCUCCUCCUCCGCAACACCCAGGCCCUUAUCAGGAAAGGAUUUGGGUUGGUGGGGAGGGGCGGGGGGGAAGUCGGAGGCCCCAGGCUCAGCAAGGUGGGUCGGAGAGAUAGGGAAGUGGGGAGGGGGCUGCGGGCCCCUGCUGGGUGGGGGAGGGCAAUGGGAGGGAUGCCCAGAAUGGGCACGGUGGGGGACUUUGGCCAAGCUCUGUCCUUGCUGGCCUGGACCUCAACAUGUUUCCAGGACUCCUGCCUCCCAUCCUUGCCAGGCAAGUUGCCUGCACCUUUAAUUAGCAAGCAGCAGUUUCUCUCCAAUUCAUCAGGGUCGCUGUUUAAUUAGCCGAGCCCAGGGCGCCCCCACCCCCAGCUCUGCCUGCCUGUCUUACCAAGGCCACCACCACUUCAGGGUGUCCCCUGUUACCACCCCCCACAAUUAUUCUGCUCCCCAGAGUGGGGGAUGGGCCUGGCACGCCCAGCUGAAACCUCAAGGAGAUUCUGGGCACCGGCGCUUGUAUUCAAGGCAUCCAGCAAACACGAUUAGGGACCGAGGCUGCGCCAGGCUGGCUCUGGGUAGAACCCCGGCCGGACAUGCGGGGCAGGCUCUGGUCCUGUCCAGCUGCUGGAGAAUGGCUUCUCCCUUGGGAGGCGCUGGCACAUCUCUCUGGCUUGGUCCCUGGGUGCUGGGAAGAGGCUGCAGUACUCCUGUGUGUCACUCCCACCCCACAUCCGGAAAGGGACACCAUGUCUUCCUCUUCCUCUCUCUUCCAGAGCCCAGAAAGCUCCUCUGAGAAUGCUGGACCUCAGGACAGGGGCCCAUGCUCUGCACCCGGCCCUCAGCAGCCAGAUCCUAGAGGCCCAGUCCAAGCUGUGGGCCAAGGGAGCGGGGCGGGCUGAGGCCUGCUUUGUGUCGGCAGGGUCUGGGGAAUUGGGAGCACUGGUGGGAGCCCAUGGUCCCGGGCCGAACCAGCCCCCUUCUGUUUCCCUGAAGAAGGGUGAGGCUGAGGGCCCCCGGAACAGAGCCCCUGUGUCAUUCUGUGCAGGGCCGGGAUAGCCACUAGUCACUGUGGGCAGAAGCAAGAAGCAGAGGCUCAGGCUCCGUCCUAAGCCUGUGCUCCUGCUGGGCUGUGGAUGGUGUGACCCUUCCACUGUUUCAUAGACUGAGAACAUGGAGGGACUGGCAUUUGCUGUGUUACCCUGUGGUGCCAUCAGUGUGUUGUGACAGGGGCAGGAGGAGUGUGCUAGAACCCACCCACUCUGGUACUGCCCAUCUCUGUGGCCUUGGGCCAGCCACCAAACCGUACCAUGCCUUAGUUCCCCUAUGAUUCAUAGCUGCUUCAUGGGCUGAUGUGAGGAUUAAAUGACUUACUGUGUGUUGGGUCUGGUUUUGUUUGGCUUUGUUUUGUUUUUUGAGACAAGGUCUCACUCUGCUGCUCAGGCUGGAGUGCAGUGGUGCAAUCACAGCUCACAGCAGGCUCCACCUCUCAGGCUCAAGCGAUCCUCCCAUCUCAGCCUCCCUGAGUCUCGCUCUUUUGCCCAGGCUGGAUGGAGUGCAGUGGCGUGAUCUCAGCUCGCUGCAACCUCCACCUUCCGGGUUCAAGUGAUUCUCCUAUCUCAGCCUCCUGAGUGGCUGGGAUUACAGACUCCAGCAUAACCUUCUCCAGGAAGCUUUUCCAGAGCCCCCAGGCUAGGAACCUCCCCCCAACCCCUGAACUCAAGCCCCAGCAGCCCGUGCCUGCGCCAUCUCCAUCAGAGCUGCAUCUCUCUGGGUCUCUGGGUAACAAGUGCCAUUUCUUUGUUGUUUUCUGUGUCCCCCAAGGACAAAGCUCAGGCUGGAUUCAUCUCGGAAUUCCCAACACCGGGGUAGAACUGGCUCAUUUCAAUUUCAGUCAAUGUUUGUUGAGGAAAGGAGUGAAGAGUUGGACACAUGAAUGAAUGCAUGAAACAGUCCGGAGUGGGGAAGCUGAAGCUCAGGCAUCAGGAUCCGGGAGAAGCAUCCAGUCCAGGCGGACUGGGUGGAAGGUUCAGAGCAGGGUCCCCAAGUCAGGAGUGGGGAGGUAGAGACGGCAAGACCUCCUUCCAUGAAAGGAGGCUGGGACCAGGGGACCAGGUAGUGCAACGCGGUGAGGGGGCUGUCAGGGGGACUGGCCCGAGGAGUCAGAGGCAGGAGGCACCACCUCCUGCCUCUGACUGUCCUGCCUUGUCUGUCCUUACAGACAAGGACCUUCUACAAGAGGGGAACGUGUCAUGGGCUCUGGAGCCCCUCUCCAGGUUCAAAUUGUGACCCUGUGCCAGGGACAGCUUCUUUGUGCCUCAGUUUUUCCCUUAAAAUGAGGAUAAUAAUACUUCAUUCAUGCAUUUUUUUCCCCUCAACAAACAUUUGUUGUAUGUCUGCUGUGGGCCCAGGACAGGAGGCUGAGAAGGAGCUGACCACAGUGGUCACACAGCCAAGCCCUGCUGCUGAGAUCUGACCCUGGUUCGCCUGUCACAAGUUCUAUUUGUGCCUCGUUGUCUGCCUCCUGGGGCUGUUAUGAGGGCUGAAGAAGGGGCAGGCACAGAGGAGACACUUACUAUAUGAUCAUUGUCCUCCUAGAGUAUCAUCACCAUCAGGUGGACUUCAGUGGCCAUCCCAGGCCUCCACGGAUCAACCACAAGAUCUUGGAGAAUGUCCUUACCCUCCAAGCCUCAGUUUACCUUUAGGGUGACCAACCAUCCUGGUUUGUCCAAAACUGAGGGUUUUCCUGGCACAGUCCCAGGCAAACUGGCAUGGUGAGUCACUGAUAUAGUUUGGCUCUGUGUCCCCACCAAAUCUCACCUUGAAUUUUAAUAAUCCCUACGUGUCAAGAGCAGGACCAAGUAGAGAUAAUUGAAUAAUGGUGGCAGUUUCCCCCAUGCUGUUCUCAUGAUAGUGAGGGAGUUCUCACGAGAUCUGAUGGUUUUAUAAGCGGCUUCCCCCUUUGCUCAGUAUCACUCUCUCUCCUGCCGCCCUGUGAAGAGGUGCCUUCCACCAUGACUGUAAGUUUCCUGAGGCCUCCCCAGCCACGCAGAACUGUGAGUCAAUUAAACCUCUUUUCUUUAUAAAUUACCCAGUCUCGGGCAUUUCUUCACAGCAGCGUGAGAACAGACUAAUCCCGUCACCCUGGUUUCCUCAUCUCUAACACAGGGACCACCUGCCUCCCAGGGCUGUUGUGCAGAACAGAAAUAAGCCUAUGGAAAAGGCAGAAAACCAUGGAGCCAGAAUUCUAGAUCUGGUUACAUGAAUACUAAAGACUUUUGCAUGCCAUGGAAUUCUAUGCAUGAAAAAGAACUAGGCGGUCCCGUGUACUGCUGUGGAAGAAGCUCUGAGAUACAUGUUUUUUAUGUGAAAAAGGCCAGAUACAGCGCACUUUGUGGGGAGCGCUUCUGUUAGUACCAAGGAGGGGGCAGGAACACACAUGCACGUGCUCCAAUGAGCACAUGGGUUCUCCCGGGCAGGGACUGGGGGCUGAGGAGAAAAGACUUGUUUUUCACUGUACAUCCCUUUGCUUUGUUUGAAUUAUUUUACCCCUUUGUUUUCAGUAGCUGGCCGAAAAACAUCCCAAGCUUCCAUGUGUCAAAAAGAACUCACUGAACAAGAUUUAAAGGCCAAAGUUAGGGAGUAGGAAAUGUGUCUAGCUCAGGGCCCAGCAUCUAAGGAGUGCUCCAUGAAAGGCCUUCUCCCCUCUCCCACUCCUGACCUUGCUGACUGCUGGGAGUGCAGGGGCACAGACGGGCUGUUGCCUCCCCCAGUGCGGUAUUUGUGAGGCUCAAAUGCAAGCCAAGGCUGGGGAGACUGCUCUGGGUUCCACGCGGCAUCCUGCCUAAGCCCUGGGGGUCCUAGAGGUCACUGGCUCCCUUCUCUGCCUGCAUGUCUCAGGUCGCCCUCUGGCCAGUUCUGAGGUCCUGCCCUGCCUCAAGGAGCAGAGGUGGCAGAGGUGGGCCCACCGCACAGGGUAAAUGUCCCGGUUUCACAUACCUCCAGAUUGCAGGGACCUGCGUAUGCUACUGCUGCUGUGGAAACCAGCUCUCUCUGGCUCUGGCCUUGGGGAGAGGGAGCCACAGUGGAUUUAGGAAGAGUCUCCAGAUGUAGCUUGAGACUACCAAACAGGCCUGACUCCCACAGACCCUGCCUCUUAUGAGCGCCCAGACUCAGCCCUGCUUCAGGCUCCCAGCCAUGUGGCCAGCCGCUUUUCUUCUUUAAUUUUUAGCAUCAGACGAAUAUUUCAGGAAAAUAUUCUCAUUGUAAAAUCUCAAACAUUAAUAAAAUGUAGUG
rnacentral:lncRNA from 1 species